GACGAACGCUGGCGGCGUGCUUAACACAUGCAUGUCGAACGAUGAAGAAGAGAAACGCGAACUUCGGUUCAAAUUUCACUUCGGAUUAGUGGCAGACGGGUGAGUAACGCGUGAGCAACCUACCUCUUACAAAGGGAUAGCCUCGGGAAACCGUGAUUAAUACCAUAUGACACAUUCAUAAGGCAUCUUAAGAAUGUUAAAGCUACGGCGGUAAGAGAUGGGCUCGCGUCCCAUUAGCUAGUUGGUGAGGUAACGGCCCACCAAGGCGACGAUGGGUAACCGGCCUGAGAGGGUGAACGGUCACAUUGGAACUGAGACACGGUCCAAACUCCUACGGGAGGCAGCAGUGGGGAAUAUUGCACAAUGGAGGGAACUCUGAUGCAGCGACGCCGCGUGAGCGAUGAAGGAAUUCGUUUCGUAAAGCUCUGUUCUAUGGGAAGAAAAGGACUGUACCAUAGGAGAAAGCCCCGGCUAAAUACGUG
rnacentral:rRNA from 1 species